rnacentral:rRNA from 1 species
GAUGAACGCUGGCGGCGUGCUUAACACAUGCAAGUCGAACGGGAAUUAUUUUAUUGAAACUUCGGUCGAUUUAAUUUAAUUCUAGUGGCGGACGGGUGAGUAACGCGUGGGUAACCUGCCUUAUACAGGGGGAUAACAGUCAGAAAUGGCUGCUAAUACCGCAUAAGCGCACAGAGCUGCAUGGCUCAGUGUGCAAAACUCCGGUGGUAUAAGAUGGACCCGCGUUGGAUUAGCUGGUUGGUGGGGUAACGGCCCACCAAGGCGACGAUCCAUAGCCGGCCUGAGAGGGUGAACGGCCACAUUGGGACUGAGACACGGCCCAGACUCCUACGGGAGGCAGCAGUGGGGAAUAUUGCACAAUGGGGGAAACCCUGAUGCAGCGACGACGCGUGAAGGAAGAAGUAUCUAGGUAUGUAAACUUCUAUCAGCAGGGAAGAUAGUGACGGUACCUGACUAAGAAGCCCCGGCUAACUACGUG